rnacentral:rRNA from 1 species
UACGUAGGGUGCAAGCGUUAAUCGGAAUUACUGGGCGUAAAGCGUGCGCAGGCGGUUGUGCAAGACAGAUGUGAAAUCCCCGGGCUUAACCUGGGAAUUGCAUUUGUGACUGCACGGCUAGAGUGUGUCAGAGGGGGGUAGAAUUCCACGUGUAGCAGUGAAAUGCGUAGAUAUGUGGAGGAACACCGAUGGCGAAGGCAGGUCUCUGGGACGGUAUUGACGCUGAGACGCGAAAGCGUGGGGAGCAAACAGG